rnacentral:piRNA from 1 species
UGACUUAUCUGUAGAGGCCCUCCCC